rnacentral:rRNA from 1 species
UACGUAGGGGGCAAGCGUUGUCCGGAAUCAUUGGGCGUAAAGCGCGUGUAGGCGGCCAGAAAAGUCCGCUGUGAAAACUCGAGGCUCAACCUCGAGAUGUCGGCGGAAACCAUCUGGCUAGAGUCCGGAAGAGGAAAGUGGAAUUCCUGGUGUAGCGGUGAAAUGCGCAGAUAUCAGGAAGAACACCCGUGGCGAAGGCGGCUCUCUGGGACGGUACUGACGCUGAGACGCGAAAGCGUGGGGAGCAAACAGG